AAAUAUGAGGGAAAGGUUCACGCAGGUCUUGGUAUCCACUGCUGCUUUUCCCUCCAGAGUGAACAGGCAGGCACAGUGAAAGCCAACGGAGCCAUUCCUAUUAUUGAGAAGCCUCGUGGUGAUGGUGUCUGGUUGAAGCUGAUUGAUGAGAUAAUAAAGAAACUGAUCUGGAGCACACAGAUGGUCACACAUGCACGGUUCCUCUCUUUGAACUGACAUCUUGGCAAAAGCCCUCUGAGCCCCAGGGA
rnacentral:lncRNA from 1 species